UGGCUCAGAUGGUAAAGCGUCUGCCUACAAAGCAGGAGACCCAGGUUCAAUCCCUGG
rnacentral:tRNA from 1 species